CUUUGGACAGGUUUUGAUAAAUCUCCCCCUAUAGAGUCUCAUAUGUGUAUGGCAAAACUCUUUUAUUCCCUUACCAAAAUAGUUCAUCUUUCUACCUAUCCCGGACGCUUCCAUAAACCGUGAAAUCCUCAUUUACCCAAGAACAUACUGUAUACUGCAGGGUCUAUGCUCUGAAGCUCAAUGGUGCAUUAUCACAAGAUCUGCUUUAGAAAUGGAAUCCUAUGAACAGCUGUGAAUGGCAUCAUUUCCACUUUAGUUCCCAUACCCUCUGUGAGACAUCCUUACAGUGACAGAUCAAUAUAUAGAUGCUGUAAGUCAACAAACAUGCACAGUGAAUGGGAUAUUAAGAAGGGAACAAGAAACUCGCAGCCAGAAGACCAGGAGGUACAGCCUCCCGUGGUGUCUGACACAGAGCAACAUCCCCCAGAAAGCCUGUUAUUAGCCCUUCCUUCCUGAAGAAUAUCCUUGAUCUGCUUAGAAUCUUUCAAAAACAGAGAGAUACAACACAUCGAAGCAGCUUCUCUGUUGGAAUUUGCUCUCAAUGGGACACAACAAAUGGCUGUGGAAGACAAAGUGAACAAAAUUAUUCAUGAAGACCUAUGAAGAAAUGUUAUUUUUGUAGCAUUCUAAACAAAAAUAAAAGAUACA